rnacentral:rRNA from 1 species
GGACCUGACUGCUAUCGGAUUGGUACUAAGCCGUGCGAGUCAUUGUAGCAAUACAAGGCGGACGGCUCAGUAACACGUAGUCAACCUAACCUAUGGACGUGGAUAACCUCGGGAAACUGAGAAUAAAACACGAUAGAUCAUUAUGCCUGGAAUGGCUUAUGGUUCAAACAAUUUAUUGCCAUAGGAUGGGACUGCGGCCUAUCAGCUUGUUGGUGAGGUAAUGGCCCACCAAGGCUAUAACAGGUACGGGCUCUGAGAGGAGGAGCCCGGAGAUGGGUACUGAGACACGGACCCAGGCCCUAUGGGGCGCAGCAGGCGAGAAACCUUAGCAAUGUGCGAAAGCACGACUAGGUUAAUCCGAGUGGUUUCUGUUGAAGAAACCUUUUGUCAGUCGUAAAACCACAGACGAAUAAGGGGUGGGCAAGUCUGGUGUCAGCCGCCGCGGUAAUACCAGCACCUCGAGUGGUCAGGAGGUUUAUUGGGCCUAAAGCAUCCGUAGCCGGCUUUGCAAGUCUCCGGUUAAAUCCAGCUGCUCAACAGAUGGGCUGCCGGAGAUACUACAAAGCUAGGGAGCGGGAGAGGUAGACGGUAUUCUGUGGGUAGGGGUAAAAUCCACUGAUCCAUAGAGGACCACCAGUGGCGAAGGCGGUCUACCAGAACGCGUUCGACGGUGAGGGAUGAAAGCUGGGGGAGCAAACCGGAUUAGAUACCCGGGUAGUCCCAGCUGUAAACGAUGCAAACUCGGUGAUGCAUUGGCUUAUGGCCAAUGCAGUGCCGCAGGGAAGCCGUUAAGUUUGCCGCCUGGGAAGUACGGACGCAAGUCUGAAACUUAAAGGAAUUGGCGGG